rnacentral:rRNA from 1 species
UUAAGCAUAUCAAUAAGCGGAGGAAAAGAAACUAACAAGGAUUCCCCUAGUAACUGCGAGUGAAGCGGGAAGAGCUCAAAUUUAAAAUCUGGCGUGCCUCUGGUCGUCCGAGUUGUAGUCUGGAGAAGCGUUUUCCGUGUUGGACCGUGUAUAAGUCUCUUGGAACAGGGCGUCAUAGAGGGUGAGAAUCCCGUCUUUGACACGGACUACCAAUGCUUUGUGAUGCGCUCUCAAAGAGUCGAGUUGUUUGGGAAUGCAGCUCAAAAUGGGUGGUAAAUUCCAUCUAAAGCUAAAUAUAGGCGAGAGACCGAUAGCGAACAAGUACCGUGAGGGAAAGAUGAAAAGCACUUUGGAAAGAGAGUUAAACAGUACGUGAAAUUGCUGAAAGGGAAACGCUUGAAGUCAGUCACGUCUGCCAGGACUCAGCCUCGCUUCUGCUUGGUGUACUUUCUGGUUUGAUGGGCCAACAUCAAUUUCGACCGUUGGAGAAAGGCUUUGGGAACGUGGCACCUUUGGGUGUGUUAUAGCCCUUGGUUGUAUACAACGGUCGGGAUUGAGGACUGCAGCACGCCUUUAUGGCCGGGGUUCGCCCACGUACGUGCUUAGGAUGUUGGCAUAAUGGCUUUAAGCGACCC